rnacentral:tRNA from 1 species
GUUUGGAUAGCUUAUAAUAGAGUAUAAUAUUGAAGAUAUUAGGGAAAUAGGAUUAUUUUCAAACA